AGUGGUAAUAGUACGCGCCCCGCUCCGAAACAAAGAAAAAGGUGCGUGCCGCACUCACGAGGGACUGCCAGUGAGAUACUGGAGGAAGGUGGGGAUGACGUCAAGUCCGCAUGGCCCUUAUGGGCUGGGCCACACACGUGCUACAAUGGCAAUGAUAAUGGGAAGCAAGGCUGUAAGGCGGAGCGAAUCCGGAAAGAUUGCCUCAGUUC
rnacentral:ncRNA from 1 species